CAAUCGGCCCUUUUCAGGGCCAACAAACUUCCAUAAAAGGGUUUAU
rfam:Aedes aegypti strain Liverpool supercont1.373 genomic scaffold, whole genome shotgun sequence.